rnacentral:rRNA from 1 species
UGGGGAAUAUUGCACAAUGGGCGAAAGCCUGAUGCAGCGACGCCGCGUGAGGGAUGACGGCCUUCGGGUUGUAAACCUCUUUCAGCAGGGACGAAGCGCAAGUGACGGUACCUGCAGAAGAAGCACCGGCUAACUACGUGCCAGCAGCCGCGGUAAUACGUAGGGUGCAAGCGUUGUCCGGAAUUACUGGGCGUAAAGAGUUCGUAGGCGGUUUGUCGCGUCGUUUGUGAAAACCAGCAGCUCAACUGCUGGCUUGCAGGCGAUACGGGCAGACUUGAGUACUGCAUGGGAGACUGGAAUUCCUGGUGUAGCGGUGAAAUGAGCAGAUAUCAGGAGGAACACCGGUGGCGAAGGCGGGUCUCUGGGCAGUAACUGACGCUGAGGAACGAAAGCGUGGGUAGCGAACAGG